rnacentral:snRNA from 1 species
AUACUUAGCUGGCAGGGGAGAUACCAUGACCACAAAGGUGUUUUUCUCAGGGCGAAGCUAAUCCACUGUACUCCAGAUGUGCUAACUCCUGCAUUUCCUCAUUUAGACCUAAAGGUAGCAGUCACCUUU